rnacentral:lncRNA from 1 species
GGCAGGCAUUGGGAUUUUCAAGGAAUCCUUAAAAUUCCACCAUCCCAUCUUCUUUCAGAGCCAGCCUUCGCUGGAUCUCUAUGUGUUGCCAGUGACUGUUCUUCGAAUAGUGGGCCCAGAGGCCCUCCCUGACUCAUCGGAUAGCCACCAAGUCCCCACUUGCAGGUCACACUGCACAGCCCCUGAGUAAAGUGUGAUAUUCACUCAUCCCAGGUUCUUCCAACGUUUUUGGCAUCCCAUUUUGGUCCCCUCUGAUGGGCCCAUUGUUCUGGAGUUUUCCUCUUUUUAGUGAAUAAAAUCCACUUUCAGAAACCACUCACUUUCCUUUAUGAAACGAGUAAAUGCCACACUCCUCUUUGCUGGUGCACGAAUCCACAGCCCCUUCCUUGCAGAUUCUUUGUCACCUCUGCAGCAGGUGGGGGCUGUGGAGUCUUGCAGGGCCCCUCGUGCCUCAGAAGUCACGUCAAGAGGCAGUGUCUGGAAGGAGGCUUGGCAGUGGAUCAGAUGAUGCUCACUUCUCACAAAAGUGCCUCUUGGGAUGUUUGGGAGUGCGUGAAGGAGACAGAGGUCUGGGUCUGAAGGGGAUGCCCAUGAGUGGUGAGGUAAGAGGAGAGGCCAGGUUCAUUAGUAUGAUUAAGAGAGAGACUAUGAGAACAAUCCUGGGCCAUAGAAAGGGCUACAGGAUGGCUUGCUGUAAUAAAAUCUGGAGUAAAGAGUUGGGUUUAAGUGUGAGCUCCGUAUGUUGCUUAACCUUUCUGCACCUCGAAUUUGCCAUCUACCUGAUGGGACUAAUAAUUAAGACUCUUCCUACCCCAAAAGUGGGAUGCAGAGCUCAAUAUGAGCUAACAAACAUUUGUGGCUCUUAAUUGCUAUGCAUGUUGAGGGAUGAGUCGUAUCCUCUAGUUAUGGUUUAUAACUAGUCGUAUCCUCUAGUUAUGGCCCACUGAGUUGUGGGCCUCACUCCUGAGUUAUCUGGGCACUGGUUUCUUCUUCUUCCAUUGGUUCUUCUCUUCUCAUCUCUGACCUUUCUCUUCUGUAUUUCUCCCAAGCGCUAAAAUUAUUAUUCACCAUCACUUCCUCAAGCCCGCGCAGGGUGUCCCAGGGCAGGAGUGCUUUCCUGGUGGGCAGAGGCAGGCAGGAGAAGGCAGUGGUGGGAUUGAAUAUCAGCACCUCCUGCUUGGAGACAGAUGUCACAUGAGGCUGGUGGGCAGUGAUGGAGAUGUUUUGACACGUGUCGAGUAGUUUUGAUUCCCGAAGGUGCACAUCAGAGCAGUGAGACAUGUUUGGAUAAAUCAGAACCAACCGGAAUCUAAACUCUUUCUUAUACCAACAGUGCAGCUUUCCUUCUUCUUUUCUUCCCAGUUUUCAUGUCUGCCUGCUCAGCGGGGCUGGACUAUCCAGGCUAGAGUGAAGCUACCUUCAUUCUUCUCGCUGGACAAUGGGUCUUCUCCAAGAGUGGGCUGGGGUGGAACAGAUUUUUUGUAGUUUUGGGGUGGAGAAGCAGUUCCCUCCUGUGGGUGCUGAGUGUGAGCACUCCAGAGCAGACACCAUUUGGAUGGUUGUGAAUUCUGCAUGUCUCUCUCCCUCCCUCCUCCUUCCUCAGGACAACUUUGUAAAUGGGUCCCAAACCUAAAAUCCCCAGAGAUUGUUAAGGAGGGUGUUGGGGGUGCCAAAGGGCUUAAACCAGCAGCAGAGGUUUUGGGUCAGAUUUGCACCUGUAGACCCAACAGGGGCCAUGAGAGCCAAGUAGAGCAAAUGCUUGGGUCAUACUUGCUGACCAUCAUAUUCCAGACAGGACCACUUGGACAUUUUUUAACUGCAGAGUUAUUUUUGGAAACAGCUCUCUCAAAGCAUCGUGGCCUCCUGGCUACCCACACAGCAGCCUUUGUCAGAUUUGUGCUGUUGUGGCACAAAUAUUAAUUGAGCCCCUAUUCCUCAUCAUGCUCUGGGGCCACACAGGUGACAAAGCCUUGGUUUCAAUGGCCAGAAACUCAUCCUCUAGCAAGAGAGACUAGUACGUAGACAGGAUAGAGGCAGACCCAGGAAUGAGGCAAGAGAGAGGAAACAUACUUCUCUGGGUGCAGGAUGAUCUUGGAAGGGUUCAUUGAGGAGGCAGAUGAAGAACUCGUGUGAAAGAUGAACAGACAUUAACAGGAAGAGGCAGCAGAAUGGAGGGGGGAGGGGAAGGGUAUCAAUUAUCCUGGUUUGCCAUGGAAUGAGGGGGUUCCUGGGACGUAGGAUUUUCAGUGUUAAGAUGGAGACAGUUCUGAGCAGACUGGGAUGGUAGGUCACCCUAGGCAGUGAAAGGGCCAGGACUUUCAGAGUUGGAAGGACCUAGGUUUGAAUCCCAGCUCUGCUACUUAAAACCUUUGUGGCCAUGGGUAAAUUGUUUAACCACUCUGAACCCUAAUUUCUCUGAAUCCUAACCCUGAGAAUAUACAUAAGACUCUGCCUAACCCAGUGGUAUCAGUAACAGGUAGUUAUUUAGAUGGAAAAAGCAGCAUUUUCAAAAGCCAGGAAGAAUAUGGUUGGGGCAGAGUACAAAGAAGGGUGUGGUAAGAGGUUGGCUGGAGAUAGCAGGAGCCAGAUUAGAAAGGGUCUGAAUAGCAUCCUAAGGAAUUUAGAUUUUUUCCCCUAGGACAAUGGUUAAUCACUGAAUUAAUUUUAGAAGAUGAGUAAGACAAGCAGAUUCCUGCCUUAGAGAGGUUGUUCUGGAAGCAGAGGGGAGUAGAUUAGGAUUUGAAUCUGGAGGGGGCAGGGAGGGUAAGGAUGAUGUAGUGAAGUGAUCGGGAAAAGGGAGUAUAUUCUAAGAAAAACAGGAAAGCUAAGUGGAGAAUUCCAGAGGAGGCCAUCAGCCAGCUCAGAGUUAUCUUGGGAGCCCCAGAGGUUAAAGGGACAGGAACGUCACCUUCCGAGUUUUAGGUGCUGCCUGUGGACUGUGGCUACAUGCUGGGCUGGACUGGAAGGUUAUGUGCUUUCGAAACAGAUCUGACACCUGGGAAACUAUGUGAAUGAGGAUGACCUCAUGAGCUUCUUGGGAUGUUUUGAGUCCUCUGGCUAAUGUGCAGGUCCUUCCUCUCUUUUCUUCAUCUUCUUCCUUGGCUUCAUCCUGCAUGGGAGGCUUCUUGCCAGUGCUUUGACAUCUCGUCAUCUCCAUGGUGAUGGAACAAUGGUGUCCUAAACAUAUGACCUCACCGUGUGGUUAUGCAAAAGAGUAUACUGGAAGGGGCGCUUUGGGGGUUUGAUGAGUCUGGUUGGGAUAGGAAACCCUCUGGAUCAGAUGCCUUUGGAGCAGCUCCCCAGCCCUUGGGAGAGGAUGGACCAGCCCUGCAGUGGAAAUAACUUGGACUAGACCUCUGACAGUGGUCUCAGCUGCAUUAGCAAUUUGGAAUUGGGAAUGAUUUUCUGUAGAUAAUAAUCAGAAGAAGUUAUAAAGGAGAAAUGACUGAUCUCAACUAAAUAAGUUGUGUUUUGUGGUAUGCGAAUACUUCAAAUAAAUGAAAAAGCAAAAGACA